CGAAACACGAGUUUCCGUACAAUCAACAAAGUUAAGCAACAUCAAGCCUGGUCAGUACCUAGAUGGGUGACCGCUUGGGAAUGCCAUGGGCUGUAAG